GUGAACCUGCGGAGGGAUCAUUACACAAUACAAUAUGAAGGCUGUCCGCAGCUGGAGUAUUUUAUUACCCUUGUCUUUUGCGCACUUGUUGUUUCCUGGGCGGGUUCGCUCGCCACCAGGACCACCAAAUAAACCUUUUUUAUGCAGUUGCAAUCAGCGUCAGUACAAACAAUGUAAAUCAUUUACAACUUUCAACAACGGAUCUCUUGGUUCUGGCAUCGAUGAAGAACGCAGCGAAAUGCGAUACGUAGUGUGAAUUGCAGAAUUCAGUGAAUCAUCGAAUCUUUGAACGCACAUUGCGCCCUUUGGUAUUCCAAAGGGCAUGCCUGUUCGAGCGUCAUUUGUACCCUCAAGCUUUGCUUGGUGUUGGGCGUUUUUGUCUUUGGUCGCCCAAAGACUCGCCUUAAAGUGAUUGGCAGCCGGCCUUUCUGGUUUCGCAGCGCAGCACAUUUUUGCGCUUGCCAUCAGCAAAACGGCAAUCCAUCAAGCCUCCUUCUCACGUUUGACCUCGGAUCAGGUAGGGAUACCCGCUGAACUUAAGCAUAUC
rnacentral:rRNA from 1 species